CCUUAAUCUCAAAUCACUUAAAAGUGCUAGGAACUUAAUACUUUUUUUACUUUGUUUAAGGAGGAGAAUCUAUAUUUUACUCAGAGGUAAAUAUCAGACAGUUGGAAUACCAAGUGGAAGAAUAUGAGCCUACACUCAGGCUUCCAAGUUUCCUGAUGCAGUGUUUUAUUUCCCAUGACAUCUGUAAAGAAUUAGCACUUGUUUCAGAUUUUUUUUUUGUGUACAUUAAGAACUCUUCUAUAUCAUCAAAUAGUCUGCUUUUCAUAUUCUCAAUUUAUAUUAUCCUGAAACACAGCAAGUUUUAUCAGCAAUACCAUAAAUUGCAGCUUCAAAUUAAAGUGGGAGGAAAUAAUUUUAGAGCCAAAUUUUGCUCUCAGUUACACUGAGAUAACCGUGGAAUCAGUCUGGGAAAGCCAGUGGAGUGAUAACCAAUUGCACUGGUACAAUUGAGUGUAUAAUUUAUGUCUUUAAUUUUACUUGCGAGAUGAUUUUACAGACCUGUUUUACUUAUGUUUCCAAUGCUUUUUCCUUUCAGACAUACCCACUUCUUGCGUCUCAGCACUGGGCAGGCCUAUUCCUUUAUUUGUGUAUAUUUUUGUGAAUCAGCUGCUAUAGGACACGGGUGUAACACUUUCAGGCAUGUGUUGGGUGUCUUUGGGGAAGAGAUUUGUGGGUUUGUAAUAAUGUCUAAAAAAAAAAAGAUAAUUUCCUCAGAUUGUUAACAAAUUGAUGUUGGCUCCCAGUUUUGCAUCUCUUAACCUGAUUUCAUGUUUAUUACAUGAAGGUGUGUUCUUGAAAGACAGAUGGUGCUAGUUCUUUGCAGUGUCUGCAAAUGAUCUGUGGUGGGGAGAGUUGAUAAAAAUUUCAUUCUGCAGAAGUUACUAUCUUAAUAUUUAAUGUUGCUUGAAAGGUAGUUUUACAGAUCAUGCUCUUUCCUCUUUAUGUAGUGGCUUUCAAAGCCUUGUAUUGAUCUUGGUUGUGCCCAGUGCUUUGCCUAGUGUGUGGGGGAAAUGUAGAACUUGAGUAAGCCAUGACAUCUUAGAUGGUGUGGAUGAUGAUUAUGUGCGUGCUGAACAAGAACUUCUUCUAUAUGCCCUUCUGCUGCAACAGAGUAAUAAAACUGGUAGGUGGCAGCAGCAGUAGAAGAAACUCAUGUGACUGACCUGGGAAACCUCCGGUACUGUGAAAAAUGGAUUGCAAAAUCUUAACUGAAGUAAGGGGGACGGAGGAGAGAGGCAGAGUCCCUGAACUGUCCCUUUGAAUGAUGUCCUGUUUAUGGUGGAAGCAGUGAUACUACUGACCUCCCUUGAUGCUUAGUUUAUCUGUGUCAUAAAAUGCUUUAAUUUUGGGAAGAAAGGAACUGGAGAGGUAUGGAGGUAUGGAGGAAAACAGUGCUACAUGGACUAAUCAGGAAGGUGCUGUGAAGCAAAGAGAGAAGACAAAGCAGUAGCUGUGUAUGCAGGAAUGUAAUGCUUGUGAAAGAUGCUGGACCAACAAUUGCAGAGAUUGAACUCCUCUACCCACAGGAAAGGUUUUUCUACACCACAGGAGGUCUUCUCUUGUACAGGGACACUUAUCUCUUGAUACCACCUCCUUCACAAUGAAGAAAGGAUGGACCAGCAGCAAUGUGGAAUGGGGUGAUGUCCACACUUGGGGUUAACAGUCAUAAUAAACACUGUGCUGCUAACAUGGAGAAAUGAAUAAAACAAUUUAAUUC
ensembl:lncRNA